UAACAAAUUUGUGGUCUUGUGAUACUAGAUUUUUUCAGGUGAAUAGUGAAUUGAUCUUGUUUUCCUAGUGGAUUCAUAUCAAGAAAUUGUUUUUCUUCAAGAUGAUUGAAGGAAAUAAAUGAUCAUGUACUCUUCUGUAUUUACUGUUGAAAAUUCAAACACUUCUGUGUUUGAAUUGAAAAUGAUUUUCGCGAACGUUUUUCUGUGUAGCGUGCAUCGUCGUUUCAGCUGUCAACCAUUCUUGAGUGUUUGUCUGGUAACGUAUUUAAAGACAGACAGACCUGGCCUUGGUUUAAUUGUAGGUAGUGCUAACGGAACAAUAAAAUUUCUUCCAGUUAUAAAAUCUUCCACUGUUCAAGGACUGUACAACCUACUUUGUGUUGCAUAUGAUACAUUUUAACCUGCAGUAAGAUCUUAUGUGUAAUUAGAAUUUCUUUCGAUAAGUUCCUCCCCAAAAAUGAACCCACAAAAAAUGUAUUUUGAACUUAUUUAAGCUUAGGAUUUCACUUUCAGAAUUCAAUGGUAUGUACAUUAACAGGAUGUAAUCUUGUAAUAUUUGAUUGUGUUUUAGGCCUGUUUAUAUGUGAUUCUACUGUGGAGAACAGACUGGGAGAAGCAGUGCAAACUAGCACAGGAAAGAACAGGAGUUAAGUCUGCCUUGGGCCAAACGUGUGAGAAUUUAUUAAAUGGAGACAUUCACGAAAAAGAGUCAGAAUUGGUCCUUUCAAGCUGGAUUCACAAAUCUUCAUCCCUUCCAUUUCUGAGUCGCUUUGAUGCUAACGUGACUCAAUUCCAACCUUCUCUUCUGUUACGCGAUAUUAAUGGUCAACAUGAAUUCAUGUCACAAGGAAGUGAACCAAAUGCAGCAGUGUGUGAUGUUCAAGACAGAAACAGACUUACAUCGCUAGAUAAAAAGUCUUUGAUAAGAAAAAGACUUAUUCCCUUAAUUAUUUCUUUGUUGAUAUUAGGCACUGCUGUAGCCAUACAUCAUUUAGUUCCUUUGCCAUCGUCCCACGAGACGGCAUCACUUGGUAAUGACACCCUUGGUUUUAACAUGACUGGCAAUAACAUACGAAAUCCGUGACUUUAUCCAGUUACAUAGAAAGGUAAAAUUCUGGGCCUUUUUUGUUGUCAUGCAACUCUUUUCCUGAUAGAAAGAAAAAAGCUUUGUGUGAUGACACAAAUAACAGCUGCAACACAUGGAAGAUGAGGGGUGGGGUGGGUUAUACGCGUUAAUGAGUAUGUCAUAUCAAGAAAUGCUUUCCUGGUUAACUGGACAUGCUUUUUCUUGAAGUCUUUGAGGACCAAUCUCUUUUAUUCCCCUAGAUAUUUGAAAUAUUGUAAGAAUACAAAGCAUACAUUUUUCACACUAGAUCCAAUCUGCCGAGGUGAGAGGG